rnacentral:lncRNA from 1 species
AGGAUUGAACUACAGCUGCUGGUUCGAGCCUGGAGUCUGCCCGCCUAGAGGACUGGUCUGCAGCUGCUGAGUUGUAUUUGGUGUUUGCUGUGGGACUGAACUGCUGCCCAAGAAGAUCGAGCUCGCCCCCCACGGACUAUUGGCUGGACAGGUUCACUUCCCCUAUAUCCUAAUGGUUUUUCUCUUCCAUGACCUCUGCUGGGUGGUGGGCUAGAGGAGAGGUUGAUAUCUUAUUAAAAGUAGGUUGAAAAUAUGCCUACAGGCUGGGGGCAUGGCUCAGACUCUGAGUUCCAUCUACAGCACUGAAUAAAACAGUAAAAAGAUUUUAAAACCAA